rnacentral:rRNA from 1 species
UAANNAUGCAGUCGAACGGUAGCAGGAAGGAAGCUUGCUUUCUUUGCUGACGAGUGGCGGACGGGUGAGUAAUGCUUGGGAAUCUGGCUUAUGGAGGGGGAUAACUGCGGGAAACUGCAGCUAAUACCGCGUAAAGUCUUUGGACUAAAGGGGGCGUUUGCUCUUGCCAUAAGAUGAGCCCAAGUGGGAUUAGGUAGUUGGUGGGGUAAUGGCUCACCAAGCCGUCGAUCUCUAGCUGGUCUGAGAGGAUGACCAGCCACACCGGGACUGAGACACGGCCCGGACUCCUACGGGAGGCAGCAGUGGGGAAUAUUGCGCAAUGGGGGGAACCCUGACGCAGCCAUGCCGCGUGAAUGAAGAAGGCCUUCGGGUUGUAAAGUUCUUUCGGUGAUGAGGAAGGCAGUUUGGUUAAUAGCCAAGCUGAUUGACGUUAGUCACAGAAGAAGCACCGGCUAACUCCGUGCCAGCAGCCGCGGUAAUACGGAGGGUGCGAGCGUUAAUCGGAAUAACUGGGCGUAAAGGGCACGCAGGCGGAUUUUUAAGUGAGGUGUGAAAGCCCCGGGCUUAACCUGGGAAUUGCAUUUCAGACUGGGAAUCUAGAGUACUUUAGGGAGGGGUAGAAUUCCACGUGUAGCGGUGAAAUGCGUAGAGAUGUGGAGGAAUACCGAAGGCGAAGGCAGCCCCUUGGGAAUGUACUGACGCUCAUGUGCGAAAGCGUGGGGAGCAAACAGGAUUAGAUACCCUGGUAGUCCACGCUGUAAACGCUGUCGAUUUGGGGGUUGGGGUUUAACUCUGGCGCCCGUAGCUAACGUGAUAAAUCGACCGUCUGGGGAGUACGGCCGCAAGGUUAAAACUCAAAUGAAUUGACGGGGGCCCGCACAAGCGGUGGAGCAUGUGGUUUAAUUCGAUGCAACGCGAAGAACCUUACCUACUCUUGACAUCCAGAGAAUCCUGUAGAGAUACGGGAGUGCCUUAGGGAGCUUUGAGACAGGUGCUGCAUGGCUGUCGUCAGCUCGUGUUGUGAAAUGUUGGGUUAAGUCCCGCAACGAGCGCAACCCUUAUCCUUUGUUGCCAGCGAUACGGUCGGGAACUCAAAGGAGACUGCCGGUGAUAAACCGGAAGAAGGUGGGGAUGACGUCA